rnacentral:lncRNA from 1 species
UGAUGCCAAGAAUGCAACCAAAGACCAAGCCGAAGCUGACAAUGAAGGAAAAAUUGAGAAAAAAGAGGAAAACAAGGCCGAAGAGGAGGCCAAAGAUGAAGCUAAAGAUCAAGCCGAUGUAAAAAACGAUGCUAACGCAGAAGAAGAAGCUAAAGCCAAAGAGCAAAACGCUAACAAUGCUGAAGCCACACUUAAAAGUGAAGCCAAUGAGGAUGCUAAAGCUGAAUUUGAUGACAAAUCUAAAGCAAAAGAUGAUGCUAAAGCCAAGGAUGCGGCCGAAGAAGAAGCAAAGGAUGAUGAAAAAGCUAAGGACAAAGCGUUGGAUGAUGCAAAGACCAAAUCCAAAGAUGAAGCCGAAGCUGAUUCUGAAGCUAAAGAUGAUGCAGAUGCAGCAACUAAAGAAGAAAAU